CCUACGGGAGGCAGCAGUGAGGAAUAUUGGUCAAUGGGCGCGAGCCUGAACCAGCCAAGUAGCGUGAAGGAUGACUGCCCUACGGGUUGUAAACUUCUUUUAUAAAGGAAUAAAGUGAGGCACGUGUGCCUUUUUGUAUGUACUUUAUGAAUAAGGAUCGGCUAACUCCGUGCCAGCAGCCGCGGUAAUACGGAGGAUCCGAGCGUUAUCCGGAUUUAUUGGGUUUAAAGGGAGCGUAGAUGGGUUGUUAAGUCAGUUGUGAAAGUUUGCGGCUCAACCGUAAAAUUGCAAUUGAUACUGGAAGCCUUGAGUACAGUGGAGGUAGGCGGAAUUCGUGGGGUAGCGGUGAAAUGCUUAGAUAUCACGAAGAACUCCGAUUGCGAAGGCAGCUUACUAAACUGCCACUGACAUUGAUGCUCGAAAGUGUGGGUAUCAAACAGGAUUAGAUACCCCAGUAGUC
rnacentral:rRNA from 1 species